rnacentral:rRNA from 1 species
UUUAAUUAGAGGAAGGAGGGGAGGACGUCAAGUCAUCAUUCCCCUCAUGUCCAGGGCUUCACACAUGCUACAAUGACCGGUACAGAGGGCUGCGAUACCCUGAGGUGGAGCGAAUCCCUUAAAGCCGGUCUCAGUUCGGAUCGGGGUCUGCAACUAGACCCCGUGAAGUCGGAGUCGCUAGUAAUCGCAGAUCAGCAACGCUGCGGUGAAUACGUUCCCGGGCCUUGUACACACCGCCCGUCACGUCAUGAAAGUUGGUAACACCCGAAGCCGGUGGCCCAACCCCUUGUGGGAGGGAGCCGUCGAAGGUGGGAUUGGCGAUGGGACGAAGACUAUGAGAAGG